ACUAUUGUUUGUAUUCUCAAUCUGUUUGUGUAAAUAAGGAAUGUAUGCAGCAGGAAAAGAUAAGUUGUGAAGGCCAUUAUUAUAGCCAGAGUCAAGGAAGAAGUAGUAAAGAGACUUAAAGAACAUCAAAGAAUCAUCAGUGUGGAUCCAUAGAGAAGA